AGAACGAACGCUGGCGGCAUGCCUAACACAUGCAAGUCGAACGAGACCUUCGGGUCUAGUGGCGCACGGGUGCGUAACGCGUGGGAAUCUGCCCUUAGGUACGGAAUAACAGUGAGAAAUUACUGCUAAUACCGUAUGAUGUCUUCGGACCAAAGAUUUAUCGCCUAGGGAUGAGCCCGCGUUGGAUUAGCUAGUUGGUGGGGUAAAGGCCUACCAAGGCGACGAUCCAUAGCUGGUCUGAGAGGAUGAUCAGCCACACUGGGACUGAGACACGGCCCAGACUCCUACGGGAGGCAGCAGUGGGGAAUUUUGGACAAUGGGCGCAAGCCUGAUCCAGCCAUGCCGCGUGCGGGAAGAAGGCCUUCGGGUUGUAAACCGCUUUUGUCAGGGAAGAAAAGCUCCGGGCUAAUACCUUGGAGUCAUGACGGUACCUGAAGAAUAAGCACCGGCUAACUACGUGCCAGCAGCCGC
rnacentral:rRNA from 1 species